CUACGGAGGGUGCAAGCGUUACUCGGAAUCGCUGGGCGUAAAGGACGCGUAGGCGGGUUGGUAAGUCAGGUGUGAAAUCCUACAGCUUAACUGUAGAACUGCACUUGAAACUACCAACCUAGAGUAUGGGAGGGGGAGAUGGAAUUAGUGGUGUAGGGGUAAAAUCCGUAGAUAUCACUAGGAAUACCGAAAGCGAAGGCGAUCUCCUGGAACAUAACUGACGCUAAGGCGUGAAAGCGUGGGGAGCAAACAGGAUUAGAAACCCGGGUAGUCC
rnacentral:rRNA from 1 species